rnacentral:sRNA from 1 species
AGUUUCGGAAGGAAGGCUAAGAAUGCCGCGUCCUGCUCCUGCGAUUACUCGUCGCAAAAUGCAGGAAAAAGUUAUUUUGCGGCAACGCCUUCAUGACCUACAUCCUGUAGG